UAGCCGUAAACGAUACUCGCUAGGUGUCGGCCACGGUGCGACCGUUGUCGGUGCCGUAGGGAAGCCGUGAAGCGAGCCACCUGGGAAGUACGGCCGCAAGGCUGAAACUUAAAGGAAUUGGCGGGGGAGCACCACAACGGGUGGAGCUUGCGGUUUAAUUGGAGUCAACGCCGGAAAUCUCACCGGGAGCGACAGCAGUGUGAUAGCCAGAUUAAAGGUCUUGCUAGACGAGCUGAGAGGUGGUGCAUGGCGUAGUCGUGU
rnacentral:rRNA from 1 species